UCUAAAGCGUUGAAGAGGAUAAGUAGUUUUAUGGACCGCCAUUAACAGAGAGCCGGAGAAGCUGAGAACUGGCAAUGGCACCAUAAAAUGAACUCACCUCCGAGCAUUGGCUUGAAAGAGAAUUCAAGUAGGGCCGGUCGGGUGCACGGCACCCGUUAUCAAAACGAGCAGCAAAAUUCUUGCUGUUCAUGAGUGCACGCAAAUUAUGCGUGAAUAAGGGUGGUACCGUGGAACAGGUUUCAAAGCCUUUUCACCCCUUAG
rnacentral:ncRNA from 1 species